rnacentral:tmRNA from 1 species
GGGGGUGAACAGGGUUCGACGGGAGUGAAAGAGGUAAUGACAGCAGGCCGGAGUUGGUCGAUGGCUCCGCAAAAAUCGACCGAAAAAUAAACAACAAAAUAAAUAAUGUUGUUCCUACGCAUAAUGUUAUGCCUAUGAAUAUGAUGGCUUUUAAUGUUAUGCCUUUAGCUGCUUAGUACAGCUUCGUUUUACUCUAGACACCUGCUACAGAGAUAAAACGACAAGAGCAGGUUAGUUUUAAACGGCUUGUGCCGUCAGUUUAAAAUAAAAUUGAAACGGUGCUGGUUUAUAACGCAAUACCGUCCGAUUACAGCGUUAUGAAUGAGAUAAAUUUUUCGGACUAAACCUGUAGCGGUCUUACCAAAGCAUUUUCGGACGCGGGUUCAAUUCCCGCCACCUCCACCU